rnacentral:tRNA from 1 species
GGUUUGUGGCUCAGUGGUAGAGUGCUUACCUAGCACAUGUGAGGCACUGGGUUCAAUUCUGAGCACCA